rnacentral:rRNA from 1 species
AGUGAACGCUGGCGGUAGGCCUAACACAUGCAAGUCGAACGGCAGCACAGUAAGAGCUUGCUCUUACGGGUGGCGAGUGGCGGACGGGUGAGGAAUACAUCGGAAUCUACUUUUUCGUGGGGGAUAACGUAGGGAAACUUACGCUAAUACCGCAUACGACCUACGGGUGAAAGCAGGGGAUCUUCGGACCUUGCGCGAUUGAAUGAGCGGAUGUCGGAUUAGCUAGUUGGCGGGGUAAAGGCCCACCAAGGCGACGAUCCGUAGCUGGUCUGAGAGGAGGAUCAGACACACUGGAACUGAGACACGGUCCAGACUCCUACGGGAGGCAGCAGUGGGGAAUAUUGGACAAUGGGCGCAAGCCUGAUCCAGCCAUACCGCGUGGGUGAAGAAGGCCUUCGGGUUGUAAAGCCCUUUUGUUGGGAAAGAAAAGCAGCAGGUUAAUACCCCGCUGUUCUGACGGUACCCAAAGAAUAAGCACCGGCUAACUUCGUG